CCUACGGGAGGCAGCAGUGGGGGAUAUUGCACAAUGGGGGAAACCCUGAUGCAGCGACGCCGCGUGGGUGAAGAAGCGCCUCGGCGCGUAAAGCCCUGUCAGCAGGGAAGAAAAUGACGGUACCUGAAGAAGAAGCCCCGGCUAACUACGUGCCAGCAGCCGCGGUAAUACGUAGGGGGCAAGCGUUAUCCGGAUUUACUGGGUGUAAAGGGGGCGCAGACGGCGGUGCAAGUCUGGAGUGAAAGCCCGGGGCCCAACCCCGGGACUGCUCUUGGAACUGCGUGGCUAGAGUGCAGGAGGGGUAAGUGGAAUUCCUGGUGUAGCGGUGAAAUGCGUAGAUAUCAGGAGGAACACCAGUGGCGAAGGCGGCUUACUGGACUGCAACUGACGUUGAGGCCCGAAAGCGUGGGGAGCAAACAGGAUUAGAUACCCGAGUAGUC
rnacentral:rRNA from 1 species